UCCCAAACACACAAGGGUCCAAAAUCUUCACUGAAACUUCACCAAACCUUUUUGAGGUCCUGUUAAGUGGGGCUAGAUGAAUGCUUUUCAUGUGUGUUGGGGGCUAUUUGAUUUUUUUUUCCAUUUCUGCUGUGGUUUAAGCUCUCCUCAUCUCUAAAAAGCACUUCAGUAUUUAGAGGGCAGGGCUCCCCGCAUUCUUUCCAGCUGGUCUAGAAAUCAAACACAUCAGUAGUCUCAGAAAAUAAAUUGAUCACCUUAAAGUUUUCUGAGCCUGGAUGGCAGGCAGCAAACAAGCAGACUUUCUAAUCCAGCUCAAUAACUGGUCUUUCUAACUCACAUAGGCUUGGGAUUCACUUGUAAUUAACUGACUCCUGAUAUGUUGCAGGCAUUAUGACAGUAUAUCUUCCCCAUUCUGAAAGAAAAGCUGGACUUUGAAUGAAAAAUAAAAAUGGAAACCCAGAAAAGAAGAAGGCCAGAUUGGAAAUCAGACAACAUAGGUCCAAUUCUCAGGGUUGUUGUGAUAGAAGAACUUCAUAAUAUCAAAAGCUAUAGAUAAACUUUCCCCAUAGGUUCUCAUCUAAACCAAAGCUCUGAAGUUCAUAUUUCCAUAAACAAAGAGGGAGUUUCUCAAUCUCUAUUUCAUUUCCUUGGGUUGAAUGACUUACAUUUCAUUAAUGCACCUGAGAUAAUUGGAAAGAAGCAUCCACAAUAAGUAUCUAAAUCAAAAUAAAUUUUGUGAUUGUAGA
rnacentral:lncRNA from 1 species